AUGUGUGCAUCUCUGAUCAUGAGCAGCAGGAGUAUUGAGCAUCAUAGUCAUGUGUUGAGAAGAAUUUUGGGGGGUUUGAAUAAUUCACCUCUGGAAACUUAGGUGUUUCAUUUAUAAUCCUUAAAAAAACCUUAUUCAAGGAUCUCUUGAGCAGGAUGAACUACUCAACCUGAAGAAAAUUCUAAUUGGGCUCCACCUGCAAGGUCAUGCACUGUUUAUUUUGAUAUGACAUCACCAUGUCACGCACAUAUGGUUAUGAUACAUGUACCUGGUGUACUCUUAUCAGACAGGUAGUCAUAAUGGGCACAUUAGCCUUUGUAUAUUUGUACCCCAAUGUCACUUUGAUAGCCCUCUCACUUGAUAAUAAUAAUGAUAAUUACUAAUUAGUAAGGCCUGUGAAAUGCAAAGCUAGUGAAGCACCAGACAGAAUGUCUUAUUACAUUUUAGUUAGUCUCUUCAUAUUUGUGUGUGUGUGUGUGUGUGUGUGUUUUUCAGAUCUUCCCUGCUAGAGGUGACUCCUUGGCUUCAAUCCUCCCCUGAUCAAUAAAAUAAGUAGCAGUCUGUUAGCCAUUGAUCCAAUUCCACUGUUCCAUUAUUCCUAUAUCAUGUAGCUUUGUGCCAAUGAUGGAAACAAUUGUUAAUUUUAUUCACACCUUUUCAUAGUUUGUAUUCAUUUGAUAUGUCACUGAACAUCAGUUAAGAAUAAUUUUAAGGAGGGUAAGGCCCUGACCAAAAAUCUCACUCAUUAUAUAAUAUACAAGAGACAUUUAUUGAAUGUUUUUUAGUUAGGGCCAUUUGUAAUAUUUAGUACCUAUUUAGGUAGGGUCAUCAGCUAUUUUUGUUUUUCCAAAUGUAUAAGAUCGGUCAGUGCUUUCUGUUUGCCAUAUUUAUACAUUUUUUAAAAAUUCUUAUGUUUUUAUAAUUGGUUAAUUUUUUCGAAAUUACUUUGAUGAGACCUUGUCAAAAGAAAUAGGUAUAACUAUUGGUAGAAAAGAGCUGUUGGUGUAUACUGGGAACAUUGCUUCUGCGAGUUAAACGCAUGUGUUGGUUUAGCUUACCGCACCUUAUCUACUAUGGUAGCUGUAAAUGUCUCUAAAUGCUACACAGUAUAUUGCUGCAUUCAUAUGUGCAUACAUUUUAUGCUUGGGUAUAUGUACAUUGAGUGUGCUGAGGUGUUAUAAAAUAAGUGUUUGGAUAGAGGAUUAUUUUUUUUCUUCAUUAUCCACCUGUGUUAUAAAUACCAGAUCAUAUAUAUAGUGUUGAUAACACUCAUACAUGUGUACAUACUUAUACAUGAUAGUGUAUAAGUAUAUAUACAUUAUGUAUGUUAUCUCAUUGAACAUAUCUGUGGUGAGAUAAUGUGUCAAGAGUUGUGGAAGGGUCCUUGAUUAAAAGCUGACCCUGCUAUUUGUUGACCUACAAAAUGGAGGCUACAGCCACAACUACCAUCACCACCACCACUUGUCCUCCUCUUUUCAAUGAAUUCUUUAAUCACCAACCCAUGCUCUCCAGCCCAGUCCUUACACAACACCACCUAAUUGUGUUCAAUUCUCUGUUCACCACCCAUCCCCUCUCUCUCUCAUUGUCUCAUUAAAUAUCUUGCUAAUUUUUUAUGAUUUAUGCUGUUUCAUACCAUUGUGUACACACACACACACACAAAACCUAUAACAUGAUGUAUUAUUGUUUUGCUUUUCUUCUGGAUCAAACAGGUUUGGUCAAGAUGAGAAUAGGCAUACAUAUACAUAGCCAUCCUUAUUAAGUUAGUGUGUACCCCUAGCAAUACACUUAAGCCUGUGAGUAGGGAGAUUGCUGUUUUAAUGCAGUAUGUAUGACAAGAUUACAUUAGAUUAUAUAUGUAAUGUGUAUAUUUCAUUAAAUACAUGACUAUGUUCAAGCUUCAGUUUUCUUUAUCUUAAAUUUUAUCUUUUUAUGGUUGGUUUAGAACAGUAAAGUUUUCUAAAUCCACUUCUGACAUUUCUGGAUCUUCAAAGUCUCAUUAUCAACAAUUGAAUUCAAUGUAUUUGACAUUUGUGUUGUUUCUCAUAACAAACUCCAAAUAUAUUCAAUUCAGUUACUUUAAAAUGAGACUGAAGAAUUGGAAAUGUUGGAUAUGGAUUUAGGAAUGCUAUGGUUCCAAACCAACUGUAAAAAACUAAUGAGAAAAUCUGAAAGAAAUCUUUAAAAAAGAAAUGUAUCUUGAAUAUUGUGCAUUUAAUGGAACACUAUAUGAGCUGCUCCACCACACACAUAUAGACAAAAUUGUUAAUUUCUAUAUAUAUGCAUGUUUUAUAUACCAAAGAGUUUGAGUUACUUAAAUGGCUUGCCAAUGUUGUCUGAAAUAGAAUUAGUGAGGCUGAUCAUAUCAUUCUUGGCACUCGUUGCAAAUUUUAUUUGGUAACUGUUUUCCAUGCUAGUCAUUGUUAAGUUUUAAACCAUCUUAAUAGCAUAACAGCUUUGCUGCUAUUGGAAGGGAGAUAACCGUUUCUUCAUAGUAUUUGGCAGGAUGAGAAUUUUGAAUUUCAAAUUAAGGAAUAAUGAAAAGUAUGCAUUAACAGACACAACACACACACACACACGUGCCAUGCUUGACUCAUACAUCCAUUGCUAAAUUUGAUAGUUUAUUUACCAGAGCAAUCUUUGAAUUGUUGAAAUGGCUUUAGGACUAACCCCCCCCUCCCCAACCUUAUUGCCUUAUGUAUUUUAGCAGUAAGUGGCUGCUUGUACACCUUAGUCAAGUACCAAGUAAUAAUUUAUCUCAAAACACAAGAUUGCUUAUUAUAAAAGCAGAGGGGAAAAGUUGAAGUGUAAUGCAUUUAUUUGCCACAUCUAACUAACCCUCAAAGAACCUGUUUUGUUUACUUGUUUUAUAUUUCGUUAGUGGUGUAGAAAGUUGUCAUAAAUAUUGCUGUUCUCAGUAAUUAAUCUCAGCGAUUUAUUUAAAAAAUUAUUAUUUAUUAAAAUUGACUGACAAAAAUAUUUGAGAAUAUUUUUCAUGACAUUAACAUAUCUUAUCUCUGUUCAGUGCUUUACAGUUAUUGUUAGCUCCAUUUUUGUCUUAGAGUGGCCUCCAACUUUUAUGUAAACCACCUGUCUUUUUGUUUGUUAGUUUUUUUUUUUUAUAAUGCUGGUUUAUCAUGGAACACCCAUUUAGUUUGUUACCUACUGGGAGAGAGCUAACAUCAUCUGCUUCCUAGUUCUCAUAGUAUACAAUCUGCCUAGACAUAAUUAUCUAUCUAUCUACAAACAGAUGGAUAGACAAUUAUGUUUUUGGAAUAUCUCAAAGCACACAUAAAGCUGUAAAUAAUAGCAUGUAAAUAUUGGGUUGAAAAAAAUCCCUUUUUGGAUAGAAAAAGUCGAUGGGCAACCUUCAACUUCUCCUGUCCAAUAUUUACAUGAUAUUAUUAUGUGUGCUUCAAGAAAUUCCACGAAAAGAAUUUGUUCACAUUCUCUAAAAAGUUUACAAAAUUCUUAUGAAUGUCGACAAUCUAGGAACAUUUUCACUUACUAAUUAUAUUUUCAAUUAUGUUUCUAUAACAUCUUUUGUAAAUGAUAUGCCAUGUGUUCAUGUUUGUCCAUCUUAUUGUAUUUUCAUCACACACUCUAGCUACACAGUUCUUAUAGCCAACUGCAGAAUUAUUUUUAUCUUGAUUAGAAAGUUGGAUUUUAAGAGUUUUAGACAUUCCGAGCACUGAUACAGUUUUCAUUUGUUGUACACUUAUUCUAGCAUCUUCUCACCAUAUAUAUAUCUUUUUCUUGCAAAAGCGCCUAUGCUUUUUGUUGUCAGCUACUGCAUGUUAUUCCAAUCUUCCAUAGUAAUUUUAUGGGAUGGUAUAUUUGCAAAACUCCUUACAACUUAGGAUAAGUGUAGUAAUAACGAAAAUGAUUUGUGGAUAGAAAGUUUUAUACUUCAUUAAUGCCUUGCAACAUGUCUCUGCACAGAACUUACAUGUGCUAUACAGAAACAUAUGCCACAAGGCAUUAAGUAUAAAAAUUUCCAUCCACAAAUCAUUUUUAUUAUUACUAUAUAUAUAUAUAUAUAUAUAUAUACCAUGUUUGUAUAUUUUAUUGUUGUGUAUAUAAACAGAUUGGCCACUUGUUUCUCUGGGGUGGUUUCAAGUGAUGUAGACACCUGAUGAGACCCCAAUAAGGGUCAAACAUCAAUUAAGGCUGUUCAUCAUUUGCUUUCAGUCUCUGGAGAAAUAGUUAAAUUUACCAUGUUUGUAUAUCUACUAUGUAGGUUUAUAUCUAUAAUGAUUUCAUUUAGGCAUAGGGAUACUAGUAACCAGUAGUUAGAACUCGAUAUACAUACAAUAUAAGAAAAGCUUGAGCAGUAGAUAAGUAUGUUAAUUGUACUGUUGUGCCUCUGUUUUGGUUUAUUUUGCUGCUUUUGUACCUGGUACAAUGUUCUAUUAUGCCAGGAUAGAAUCCUAUUUUAUUAGAUAUCAUGUUCCAUCCUAUUGUUAAUCACUUGAAUGUUAAAUAGGAAUAUAAUUUUCUUGUUUUCUAGUCAGACAGCCACUUAAGCAGUCAGUUAUGCCCCUUAGUAGCUCCAAAUUUGUGACCAUUUAAUUCAUAGUCCAGCUCUAACUUCGAUUGCCCAUCUCUCUCUCUCUCUCUCUAUAUAUAUGUAUGUGUAUAUAUAUAUAUGUAUGUGUGUUCAUAUUUAAAGAUGGAUAUGUAUUAAUUAUGCUUAGUUGCUUUUAUUGCAACGGUUCCCUAUAAAUGAUUGAAAUUAUAGAUCCGAUUUAAAAGAAAAAAAACCUGUCUCGAUCUAACUGUCAGAUGUGAGAUCAUUAGAGCGUUAGUGAUGGGUUGUAGACCCAAAGUAGUUACAGGGACACUUUUGGGUGACCGUAUGACAAAUCUCUGUCACUAACAUUACCUUGUAUUGACCUCGGAGCUGCUACAUGUUUGGUUUACCUUCUAUAAAUAUGAUCAGACCACAGACCACACCUCCACUCAUGGUUGAAAAAAGUUCAUAUUUCAUAAUGAGGUCAGGUCUUUCAUUUCUUGCACAGGAAAAAGAUGACGAUCACGGUUGGAUGACCUGGGGCUAAACUACUGCUACCACCACCUUCGCCUCACCUUCAUUAAGAAUAUUUCAGUGAAUCAUUUUCAUUAUUAAUAUCACCAACAUGAUUUUCUAUGUGGUUGUUGAACAUGCUAGAAGUAGCAGGCAAAUCACCAUCAAACCACAUCCUACCAUUUUUAAAAGCAGGCACAUCAGAUAAUGUAGUCCUAGGUACAGUAUUGCCUUUUAUCACAGUUCUGUUCAAUCAGGACUAACAUUCAGUUAAGCAAUACCAGCAAUAGCAUCAUUCUCUUUUAAUAUGUUUACCAAGGAAUACAGUCAUCGAAUGUGAGGUAUUUCACAAUUGCCACAGUCUUCACAGCUAUUAACACCAUCAUCAACCCGACUAUUACUGUCUCUGUCAUACAACCACAAAUAGUACUAAUGCACUCACCACUACCACGAUAUUCAUCAUUCCCAGAUCACCAACUACCUUCCCACCUUUACACAAUAAGCUUGUCUGUAUCACUAUUGUAUACCCUGCCACUCCACCACUCCCCACAAUGCACCACCCCAUCUUCUUAGUAUCAGCAAUUAAACUCAAGCUCAUAUUCUUAUAUUUAUUCCCACCCAUGCUCUGCAGCCUUGAUGUUUCUCUUAAUCUUUUUGAUACCAACCCAUCUAAGACUACUCCCUGGAUCUAUGAUACAAACUUUCUGCUAUAGAGUGUUUCUAAAUUAAAAACUUCCAUCAAAAUAUCAAUGUUAAUUUGCAUUUCAACCACCAGCUUAAUAAUGAGACAAUUAUUUUACUAAAUACUUCUGCUAUUUAAAAAAAUUGGCUGAACCAAAGGCAGUGUUUCAACAAAUAUAGCAACAGAAGUUUGUUUCAACCUUGGGCUCCUAUUUCUCUCAGAAGAUGCAUGCACACUUACCUUACAGAGCAACAUAGCAACACAUCAGGUGUAUCAAAGUAAAAAUGAUCAGACCUUGUACAAAAUGCAGGAAAAAAAAACUGACAGAAAUAGUAGUGGAUGGCAGAAAUCAAAGAAUACCAGUUGAGAUACUUUGGAUUACCUUAAUGAUAUCACCUUACAUUCAUAUCCUGUCAUGAUCAACUUUGUUUUCCAUCUUUAAAGUCAAUAAAGUACCAAAUAGAGUACAGCCCAUUACCUGGGGGCUAUUUUCUAUAAGUGUGAGAGAAGUGCUACAUUUUCAAUCCCCACAGUGCCUAGUCUUCAAAGCCCCAGCAUUCUUGGCACAAUUGGGAAGCCUGUCCAACUGUGAUGAGAUACUACUCUGCUGUGACGCCUUCCUCCAUACCAGAUAGUUUAAUUUUAAUGUGCUGUCACACCUUUAUUACUUUGUGUUAACACCUGCCCUCCUAAACUGUAACACCAUUGUGCAAUGAAAGUCAAACACAGUUCACUCUCACUAGCAUCACUGUUCCUUGCUUUGCUUGUAAUGCUUAUGCAGUUGAGGAAUACAUGACUGUUGCAGCUCCCUGUUUCUUCUCCCCGUCUUUAAAACUGAUGCUCUAGGAUAGAAGUAAACAAAAAAAUAAUAAAUCUGGUUUUAAUAUUCCUGACUUAAGCUAAGACUUGAGCUAACACUCAUGUAUGAACAUUACAAUUUAUUUUUUAAAUUAUAACAAAUAAAUGUAAUCAUUUUAUAUAUCAUUUAACUGCUAAAUGAUUUCCUGAAUCAUACAUAAGAUCUGUAAUUCCUAAGAUCUCACUCCCCCAACUUGCUCUAUUAAAGUUGGCUUUGAGCUUAAUCAAAAGUAAUCAUUAUUUUUAUCGUUAUCAUUGGGGGUAAUGUGGCAGAAUUUAGUAAGUACCAGACAAAAGGCUCACCUCUAUAUUUUGAGUUGAAAUCUCAAGAUCAGUGAGCCAAUAAGUAUUUGUUGCAAUGCUGGGUUUGCUUUAGUCAACUCCUUUCUCACCCUACCAAAUUUAUCACCUUGUGGCAGUGUUAGAAAACCUCAUCAUCAAUAUGGUGAAAGGCAGAAACAGUAGCAUUCCAGAUUAAAUGCCUUGCAAUAUUUAUGGUAUUUUACAAUUUUUGAAUUAAAAUCCAUCAGGAACAGUCAAAUUUGCUUAUCAAAUCCCCCAGCAUUUCCUCAUUAUCAAGGAUGUUUUCAUUUUUGUGAUUUUUUUCAUCACUCUAUGGCCAUUUGGUAGUAAACUGGAUCAGUGUCAAGAAGUUGCAAGUUCAAUCCUCGUAGUGAUCAACUUUCAAAUCCCUAAUAUCAAAAUUGUGUUGAGACAAUGGGGGGGGAAACCUGUUCAAUUCUUGAGGGAUUCUCGUCCCACUGACUGCUGUAGUCUUCCACGAUGCUUUCUCUCAAAGCACAAAGACCAAUGGCAGCCUGUGACACUACUUUGAUAGCUGUUAUUUUUAGUUUUGUUGGGUUCUCUCUCAAAUCUUCCCAAGGAACAAACUUGAAGGGCUUAGCUACCAACGUUUUGGCUAUGGAACAGACUGUGGAGGUACACAUUACCACAACCAGUAACUCAAAUACUCCAUGGAUUUGGUUUAUUCACAUGCCAGAUGAAAUUAAAAAAUACCAAGUUAAAUCUAUUGCGCUUUCUUCCAAAAACAUGUGGUUUAUUCUAAUGAUAGAAAAAUGCUUGUUUUGUCUAUCAUCUGCUCAACAUCCCACCUUCUUCUACUGUAAUUUCACCUUCAUCUACUCAAACUGUCCUGAGUUUAUUUGGAUUUUUUUUCUUUUUUGCUGAAAGAAAGCUAUUUUGGUUGGAAUAUUUUAACAAUUUUCUUUUCUCCCUCACUUGCUGUCAUGUCUUCACUAUGUGAAAACCAGUCUGAAUCAGCCAACAUCAUGUCUUAAUAAUUUAAAAAACCUCCACUAAGACCCUACCUUAUCACACUUAAAAA